CACGGGGUGCCCGUGGCGCAGCCGCACGCGGGGUCUCCCGCUUCGGACGCGCCGCCGGGCUGAGAGGCCAGCGCCAACCCGUCGAACCUGAUCCGGAUCGUACCGGCGGAGGGAUUG
rnacentral:ncRNA from 1 species